ensembl:lncRNA
GUUCCAUUGAUGUUGUCCCAAAUGGUGGGAUUUUCUUUUUCUUUUUUUUUUUUCCUGAGGCGAAUUAGUCCUGAGCUAACAUCUGCUGCCAAUGCUCUUCUUUUUUUGCUGAGGAAGACUGGCCCUGAGCUCACAUCCAUGCCCUUCUUCCUCUACUUCAUAUGUGGGAUGCCUACCAAACCAUGGCUUGCCAAGCGGUGCCGUAUCCGCACCCGGGAUCCGAACUGGCAAACCGCGGGCUGCCAAAGUGGAAUGUGCACACUUAACCGCUGUGCCACUGGGCUGGCCCUGGGAUUUUCUUCUUUUUUAUGGCUGAAUAAUAUUUUAUUAUUUAUAUAUACCACAUUUUCUUUAUCUCUUCAUCCAAUGAUGCGCUCUUGGGUUGUUUCCAUGUCUUGGCUACUGCAAAUAACCCUUCAGUGAAUAUGGGGGUGCAGAUAUCUUUUUGAAAUAGUGAUUUUAUUUCCUUUGGAUCCAUACCCAGAACUGGGAUUGCUGGACCAUAUGGUAGUUCUAUUUUUAAUUUUUUGAGGAACCUCCCUACUGUUUUCCAAGGUGGCUGUAUCAGUGUACAUUCUCACUGACAGUGCACAAGGCUUCCCUUUUCUCCACAUCUUCGACAACACUUACCACUUGUAUUUUUUAGUUUUUAUUUUAUUCUAAGUAAUUUAAAUUAAAUAGCCACAUGUGGCAAGUGGCUGCCAUAUUGGACAGUGCCACUUUAGAAGACCACAACCAGAUCUAGUCCCUCAGGCGCCUGCUCUUGGUGACGAUGCCCUUGAUAGUCCUGAUAUUUUCCAGGAUUGGUAAGUUAUCCUCCACAGACCUUGCUUAUGGAACUGACUAGAAGGGAUCAAGCCUUUCAGUAACAUCCACAUCUUUCUUCAAACUCAGUGCUACAAAAAUGACACCAUCUGGCUCCAGCGUGACUCUUGCAGCAGAGGUAAAAUAUCAAAGUCACUGUGAAAGGAUGGUAAUAAACGUGACACUUCUGUGGGUUACAAAAGGAUUAUGAGACCAUCAUUUCUUGAGGUGAGUGAUUUAUCUGGGAAGUUGGAUAUUAAAAGGCACAGGGAUAUGAAAUGCAAACCAAACGAGAGUCAUAAAAUCCCACAACACUUUUAUGUUUCAAAGCUAAAAUAUCAGCUAUAAUUUUCCUACUUCCAGCCUACAUAUUAACCUCUCCUUUAUUUCCGAAUUGGGUGCCAGAUGGUUUCUGACACUCCUGGUUGGAUCUCUGCAUCUGGAAGCAAUUCAUCUAGUCAGUGGAAUUUCUCAGGAAAAUUAUCUAUUUACAGUCAAGUAGGUGGGGCAGCUACAGGACUGUUUACAAACUUCCUUCAAGUGAUCAAAUUAGAUGGGAUCACAGAACAGAAAUGAUUAUUGCUAUUUUAUCUCCCUAAUUUGGGACAGGAACUUACAGCUGUUCGAUGUAGAGAGUUAGAGCACAAGGUAAAGAAUUAGGAAACCUGGUUUUCCACUAAUUUACUAUGUCUUUGGGCAAGUAACUCUUCCUGUCUCAACUUCAGUCUCAUCAUAAAUAAAAGUUGGGAUAAUGAAGGCAGUCUUUCCAACUUCAAAAGUUUGAAUUUUAUGGUGAAUGGUGGGUGGAUGCUGGGACAAGAGUCACAUGGUGUUUUGGGUGAGCUGUGAAAUAUUGAGAGAUUCCAGAAACUGCUGUAACGGCCCAGGCAGACAGACUAAGAUGAAAAGGAGGAGGAUCUUGAGGGCUCAUAUGCUCAUAAGUCAGUGGUUGAGAUUGGGGAAGAGACAAACCACAAGAGCAACAGCACAACUGUAGAAGUUCAGACACGCAGAUUCCUGGUUUCUGCUUGCCUGACUUUGACAAGGGGUAUAGUGUCAGAUGUGAAUAGGAUGUUUGAAGAAAGGAAAAGAAUAAUCAUACUGGAAAAAAUCAUGGAGGAAGACAGGAGGAACAAAAGAAGCGGAGAGUUCACGGAAGCAAAAUCUAAGAAGACAGAAUGCUACUCAUUAUUACCUUCCAUAAGUAUUUUCUAUCACAGUUCUGGACAUGCACUGGUUCAGGCCACAGCCUUCAGCUGUCUGGAUUAUUGCAAUACAUUUCCAACUGGUGCCCCUCGCUUCAGUCUUGCCCCCUCCAAUCUAUUCUGCAUAUGCAGCCAAAGUGAUUUUCCU